UCACAAUUCAAACAGUUCUAUCAUUGAACGAAGUAUUAGAAGUUAGCAGUUUGUCUUCAAGUACCUGAUUAUAAGUCUUCAAGAUGUCUCCACCAAUGUUAGAUCUUCAAACUAAAGACAAUAACCAAGAUGUAAAGGUGGUUUUCCCUUCAGCAAAUGUUAUGCAACAACCAACAGUGAAGAAAAACAACAAAAAAUAUUGUUUAAUUGCUGCAUCAGUGAUCAGCGCUGCUGUGGUUAUAACUCUUGGUGCUAUCGGUUCUGUGGCACUUUACCAACAUAUGAACAAACCAGAGGAAUAUAAUACUGAAACGCUUUAUAAUGGACAACAUAUUCCUGAACAUGCCCGUGUGGAUUAUGUAAAUAGAAUAACUUAUGUUAAUAAUUCACAGUAUGGUGAAGUGUUGGCUGGCAACAAUUUACAUGAUUAUAAUAGAAAAUUGUUAGUAUUUAAAGAUGUUGCUAAUAAAGUUUGUUAUAUUGAUAAAUUAGAGGGAACAUUUGAAGAAGGUAUAGCUCUACUUGCUCAAAAGACACGAAGCACUCCAACACCAAUCAAACGAGUACAUACCAGUAAUGAAUCCAUCGAUGGAGAUAUUUUAAGAAAAUUUGCUGGAGAUAAUAUUGCUGACCAUUGUAAAGACAUUCCAACAUUUUGGGUUAUUGAUGAAAUCGUUGGAGUUGACGGGGAGUCAAGUAAAGAGAUGACAGUAGAUUGUACUAACGAUGCUUCUAAUCCUCUCUGUAGAAACAAGAGAGCCCUGGCCCGAGCAGUAAUGGCUUGUCACAGAAUUGUAAUUAAAAUUAAAAUCGUCAUCAGAUUUUAAAAUCAGAUAUAAACCCACGUUUAGCCUGCUGAACUUACCCAGGUUUAUGUCAUAAUAAUACAUAGAACUUAUUUGGUGAUGUGGAAAUGUUUUCGAAUCGAUAGUUGUAUAUUUCGGAUCGGUAAUGAUACGUCGUUUGUAUGUUUCGCUAAAUAUCAAAUUUCUCACGUCUUAAUUCAAAAUCAAAAUAACAACGAUCGAUAACUCUCCAGCUUGGAUUCUGUCUGAUUUAAAACAGGCCUAUCGAUUCUGUUCGCCCAUAACAAAAUGGGAGCGGACAUAGCGUACAACACCGAUUGAUGAAAUUUCAAUAUAUUCAAUAUAUUAUCUUUGUAAAUACUCAUUGGAAUUGAACCAGUUUUAGUAGAGAUUUGUCUUUUAUGGUAUGGGUGUAUAGAAUACAGACGACAUUAAUCCAGAUGAUAUUUGUUCUUAGUAGCUAACAUUCAUACAUGUUGGAGCCAUUAUACUAUCUCUAACGUCACAAUCGGAAUACAGUCACUAAUAAUAAAUGUAGUUAUCUCCCUUAGAUCAUUAUUAUAAUAACAAUACAUCAAGACAAUACGUCUUUCACAAGGGAUUCGUGUGACCAUGGACCUUGUAUUAUAAGGUCCAUGGUGUGACGCAAUGAGAUUUUAAGUGUAUAUUAUAUUUUUGAUA